AGGCGAGCGUUGGGCGCCACCGCCGCCGCCGCCGCGACGCCCCCAUCCGGAUCACACCUCUCCCUUCCCCGCAGCUUCAGACACGUGCGUGCAGCGGCCAGACCUUUAUUGCCUUGUUGUUGCUGGCUGCUUCUUGAUUUAAUUUCACCUCGUCAUGAGUAGGGAGACAAGGAUGAUGAGGCGACGGUGAGGCGGCGAGGCGAGGCGUUGCAAGUUAUUUAAAAGUUUGGGAUAAGGUUCUGCGACACUUCACCCGACCUGCCCUAAGAAACCAAACCUCAGUCUCGCACCUGAGAGAGAGAGAGAGAGAGAGAGAGAGAGAGUGUUGACAGUAGAGAAGUACUUUGACCUUCCCGUUGCUAAUAGAUGCCUCCCCCCCUCUCCCCGAGCCUCCGUCACCGCCGCCCACGCCCCCAGCAGUUCCCGUCCCUUCGUGGCAUCCCGUCUGCCCACCUUGACGUCAGUGCCCCAUUUGCCACACCGACCGACUUUUUUCCCCUUCGUUUUUUUACCUUUUGUUCCUUCUACUUAUCCUCCUCUCUCUCCCUUUCCCUUUUCUUCCCCUUGAUUCUCCUCCUCUUCACCAACUGGCUCUUUCCUUUGUUUGUUUUUGUACUUUUCCCUUAUUUUUCUUUUUUGUUUCUUAUAUUCUCCUUCUCUCCUUUCUCUCUUAUUGCCUCUGUUUCUCCUCCUCCUCCUUCUCCAAUUGCCUUUUUCUCCUCUUCCUUUUUUUUACCUACCUUUUGUUUCUUCUUUUCCUCCCCUCUCUCUUUCUCUCUCUCCCUUUUCCUCCUCCUCCUCCUCCUCUUCCUUCGGUUGACGUGUUUGGAGCGUCGACUUGAUUUUUGUCUCCCUUGUCAGCAUUGUCCGUCUUUUCUUUUUUCUUAAGACUUCACUCUGUCAUCACUCACAUCACUAGUCUCUCACCACACACACGUCUCUCUCUCUCUCUCUCUCUCUCUCUCUCUCUCUCUCUCUCUCUCUCUCUCUGUGUGUGUGUGCGUGCCUUCGCCAAGUGUUUCAUCCCACAAUAUCACUCAUGAACAUCUAUUCCGAGAGAGAGAGAGAGAGAGAGAGAGAGAGAGAGAGAGAGUUCACAUGUAGCAGAUCUUGUUUUUCUUUUUUCUUUUUUUUCUUAUCCUGUUUUCUUGUUUUCCCGUCUGUCUGAUUGCCGCUGCGUGGUGCCUCGGAGGUCAGGUCAGGUCAGGUCAGGUCACAGAGGUCACGUGCGUAUUACAGGUCAGCUCGGGGGGGAGGCGGGGAGGGGAGGGUCAAAGGGUAGAUGUCCAACUUGAUAACACCGAUUUCCUUCACUUCUACGAAUUUUGGUAACAUUGUUCAAAGUUAUACACGAUUGACAAUAACAAAUGGAGGUGGUAACACUGAUUUACCUUCCCUUAUAGAAGUAUACUGUAACAUUCGCGGGAUUGGUAACGCUGAUGUAAUAUUUUUUUAGAGGCAAGGAUUGGUAACACUGUAAAUUGCAAUACCAUUAUUUUAGAGGAGUAAGGCUCUUAGGAGAUUGGUAACGCUUAUUUUUUAGAAGAGUUGGCAGUACUGUAACAAUGAUGGUGGUGGUGAUGCAAGGUUUACAGAGGAAUUGGUAACGCUGUCUAUCGCAAUACCAUCUUAUUUUAGAGUUGGCAAUAAUGGCGGUGGCGGUGGUAGUGGUGCAAGGAUUGGCAACACUGUCUUUCUCUUCCGCUUUACCUUUGCAAAUUUGGUAAAGCAUCGACCUUCGUGCGUGGAGGCUGGCAACACUGCGGCCUUGAGCAGCGUGUAAUAGCCGCGGCCUUCACACCUCGGCCCUGUCAACGGUUGGGGGGGGAGGGGGGGGGGUCCACUUCACCGCCGCCGCGCACUUUGCUGAGCUGUUCCUUGGUGCUGAGUGAUCUGGACUGACUGACUGACUGACCUCUCCCUCCCUCCCUUCCUCCUUUCUUUCCUCCCUUCGUCAUUCUUUCCCCUCCUUUCCCUUACCUCCCUCACCCUCUAUUGCGUUCCUAUUCUCUGUUGCUUGCCUAACCUUUGCUUGCCUAACCUCCUCCUCCUCUCCUUUCUCUACCGUCUCCUUCUCUCCUCUUCUCUACCUCCUCUUUUUCUAGUCCUUUCUCCGUAUCUAGUUACUCUUUCCUCCUUUCUUUCAGCUCCAUCACCUCCUCCGUUUCCUUCUCUUCAUCUCUGUUGCUUCCCUUUAACCUCCUCCUCCUCCUCCAUUCCUUUCUUUACCUUCAUUUACUCUCUCCUUCUUCCUUCACCUCCAUCACCUCUUCUGUUCCCUUCAUUGCUUCCGCCUUCACCACCACCUCGAUUUCUUCCUUCCCUCGUCUCCACCCUCUCAAUAUCUUCUUUUUUUCGUCUUUUCUUCCUCAGCUUGCAUUCCGCUAACUCCCAUCUCCUCCUCCUUUCCUCCUCCUCUUCAUCGCUCAUCUCUUUCUGCCUCUGUAAUACACACACACACACACACACACACACGUUCACCCCACACACACACACACACUCAUACCUUCCCCCUUCCUCACCCCCCACACACACACUCAAACACAGACGCACACACGCACACCGCGGUUUUAUGUUUUACGACUUUCUCUUCUCCUCCUUGGCGGCGUCUUGGGAUGAGGGAGAGGUGAAAGGAAUCCCAGUAAUGAGUGGAGGCGCCUGUCUUUUUUGCCUCCAAGGUCAGUCAAGAGAGCGCGCUGGAAGGGACGUCGCCGAGGGUGUUAGGUCACUUAUUCUUCAGCGUAUCAGUCCCAUUGCGAUCAUUACCAAGGCCACGGAGAAGAUUAACCGGGUAUUCAUGCGUUUUUGUUCUCAUUUUCCCCCGUUUAAUUAAUGUGUAGAUGUCAGGUUAAACUAUCACUAGGAUCACAGAAGUCCGUGAAAAUCCCAGCAACUUUUACGAGAGGCUUUGCAGACGGGCGCACUUAGGAGCCGAUACCUUUUAAGUCUGCGGGAUUAGGUUAGCUUAAGUUAGAUAGAUAAGUCGAUAAAACACUAGAGCAAGAUUGAGGUAUAGGAUAUGUUUAAGAAUACGGGCUUAUGGUAGGUUACGUUAGGUCAAGUCAGGUUGGGUUGGGUAAAGUUUAGGUUAGGUUGGGUUAGCCUUUUGGUUAGGUAGAUGACGAAGCCCUGAUAAAACAUUAAAGUGAGGUUGAGGUUUUGGUUAGGUUAGGUUAGCUUAGGUUAGGUUAGGUUAGGUUAGCCUCUUGGUUAGGUAGAUGACGAAGCCCUGAUAAAACAUUAAAGCGAGGUUGAGGUUUUGGUUAGGUUAGCUUAGGUAAGGUUAGGUUAGGUUAGCGUCUUAGGUAAAUGACGAAGCCUUAAUAAAACACUAAGGCAAGGUCGCCCGACGCCGCCUCGCCCGUGCCUCGCGCCAAGUACUUAACGAAGUUCAAAGACGCCCAUUCACGGUGUCUUCUGGGCCCCGACGUGAGCCCCGAGGCGUAGGAGGUAAGAGGAGGAGGAGGUGUGGCGGCGCGAGACGAGACGAGGCGGAUAGAGAGGAGGAGGUGAAGAAGUAGGAAGGAGGUAACGAAGUAGGAGAAAUAGAGGAGGUAAAGAGAUGGGGGAGAUUGAGAUAUAGACUGUUAUGUUGCCUCUUUAUCCUUCUUUCAUGAUUGUUUUGUUUCUUGUUGUUUUAAUUAAGGAAAGUUUAAAGAAAGGAGGCAAAGAAGAAAUAGGAAGAAGGUAGAGAGAUGGGAAAGAUUGAGAUGUAGAUAGUUAGGUUACUGAUUGUUUUGAGGGUGUGUGUGAUCAUCCUGUUUUCGUCAUGUUUAGCUGCUUUGUUUCUUGUUUGUGGGGAAAGUUAGAAGUAAAGUUUAUUAUGUUCUUUUAAUGGGUAGUUCGUUGUCACUAACAUUUGAAGUUUUGGCUUGUUUUGAUGAACUGGAGAAAGGAAAACACAGAUUACUAUUACUAUUUCUACUACUAUUACUACCAUUACUUAUACAACCAACAAAGACACAUAGUUAAGAUUAGAAGAUGAAAUGGAAGAGAUCAUUAAAAUAUAUAAGUUCUGAGAAACCAAAACUGACAAACAACGACAAAAACAACACAGACAAACCAAAACGUAAGAGAAAGCAAAGCAAACCAGGACCAAAACAAACCAGGAAAGAACCAAACUCUCAAUCCUCUCUCUCCCUCUUUCUCUCUCACACUAUCUCAUCAUUACCAGCAUCGCAUCGCACUCUAUCGAUUCAUGUUUGUCUUACGCUCUGAGACCUUCCUCAUGAAUGCUGGCAGACCCCUAGUGUAGGUUAUCUCCCUCCCUCCCUCCCUUACCCCUCUUCCCUCCACGAGCCAGUCUCUCCCCGCUGGCGCCACUGAGGAGGAGGAGGAGGAAAGGAGAGAAAGAUUAGGUUGUGUGUGUUAGUUCGUCUGUUCGCCCUCUCAUAACCACGUUACUUCAGCG